rnacentral:rRNA from 1 species
UUUCCCGGUUGAUCCCGCCGGACCUGACUGCUAUCGGAUUGAUACUAAGGCCAUGCGAGUCUUUGUAGUAAUACAAGGCAGACGGCUCAGUAACGCGUAGUCAAUCUACCCUAUGGACGGGGAUAACCUCGGGAAACUGAGAAUAAUACCCGAUAGAACAUUAUGCCUGGAAUGGUUUAUGUUCCAAAUGAUUUAUCGCCGUAGGAUGGGACUGCGGCCUAUCAGUUUGUUGGUGAGGUAAUGGCCCACCAAGACUAUUACAGGUACGGGCUCUGAGAGGAGUGGCCCGGAGAUGGGUACUGAGACACGGACCCAGGCCCUAUGGGGCGCAGCAGGCGAGAAAACUUUGCAAUGUGCGAAAGCACGACAAGGUUAAUCCGAGUGGUUUCUGCUAAAGGAACCUUUUGUCGGUCCUAGAAACACCGAUGAAUAAGGGGUGGGCAAGUUCUGGUGUCAGCCGCCGCGGUAAAACCAGCACCUCAAGUGGUCAGGAUGAUUAUUGGGCCUAAAGCAUCCGUAGCCGGCUCUGUUAGUUUUCGGUUAAAUCUGUACGCUCAACGUACAGGCUGCCGGGAAUACUGCAGAGCUAGGGAGUGGGAGAGGUAGACGGUACUCGGUAGGAAGGGGUAAAAUCCUUUGAUCUAUUGAUGACCACCUGUGGCGAAGGCGGUCUACCAGAACACGUCCGACGGUGAGGGAUGAAAGCUGGGGGAGCAAACCGGAUUAGAUACCCGGGUAGUCCCAGCUGUAAACUAUGCAAACUCGGUGAUGCAUUGGCUUGAUGCCAAUGCAGUGCCGCAGGGAAGCCGUUAAGUUUGCCGCCUGGGAAGUACGUACGCAAGUAUGAAACUUAAAGGAAUUGGCGGGGGAGCACCACAAGGGGUGAAGCCUGCGGUUCAAUUGGAUUCAACGCCGGG